UGCAAGUCGAGCGGUAGCACAGAGAGCUUGCUCUCGGGUGACGAGCGGCGGACGGGUGAGUAAUGUCUGGGAAACUGCCUGAUGGAGGGGGAUAACUACUGGAAACGGUAGCUAAUACCGCAUAACGUCGCAAGACCAAAGUGGGGGACCUUCGGGCCUCAUGCCAUCAGAUGUGCCCAGAUGGGAUUAGCUAGUAGGUGGGGUAACGGCUCACCUAGGCGACGAUCCCUAGCUGGUCUGAGAGGAUGACCAGCCACACUGGAACUGAGACACGGUCCAGACUCCUACGGGAGGCAGCAGUGGGGAAUAUUGCACAAUGGGCGCAAGCCUGAUGCAGCCAUGCCGCGUGUGUGAAGAAGGCCUUCGGGUUGUAAAGCACUUUCAGCGGGGAGGAAGGCGGUGAGGUUAAUAACCUCAUCGAUUGACGUUACCCGCAGAAGAAGCACCGGCUAACUCCGUGCCAGCAGCCGCGGUAAUACGGAGGGUGCAAGCGUUAAUCGGAAUUACUGGGCGUAAAGCGCACGCAGGCGGUCUGUCAAGUCGGAUGUGAAAUCCCCGGGCUCAACCUGGGAACUGCAUUCGAAACUGGCAGGCUAGAGUCUUGUAGAGGGGGGUAGAAUUCCAGGUGUAGCGGUGAAAUGCGUAGAGAUCUGGAGGAAUACCGGUGGCGAAGGCGGCCCCCUGGACAAAGACUGACGCUCAGGUGCGAAAGCGUGGGGAGCAAACAGGAUUAGAUACCCUGGUAGUCCACGCCGUAAACGAUGUCGAUUUGGAGGUUGUGCCCUUGAGGCGUGGCUUCCGGAGCUAACGCGUUAAGUCGACCGCCUGGGGAGUACGGCCGCAAGGUUAAAACUCAAAUGAAUUGACGGGGGCCCGCACAAGCGGUGGAGCAUGUGGUUUAAUUCGAUGCAACGCGAAGAACCUUACCUGGUCUUGACAUCCACGG
rnacentral:rRNA from 1 species